AUCUACCAAAAUCAGUCCUUAAGUAUAGAAAUACAGACCAUAUCUAGACCGUCAGAUCUGGAGAUUAAUGGCUAAGAUCUGGAGUGACUCCUCGUUUUAUAUGGGUCAUAAUAAGGCCGAUCUAUGUCAUGUUAGGGGUAAUUUAGGAAACAAAAAUAUUAAUAACUGUCGUUCCGUUUUUAGGCCCUGAUUAAUUGGGAUUGGGAGUAAUUACUGCACACGUUCCAUUCUAUUUCACUCUCUUUCAACAAAAACUCUCCAAUCUCCCUCAAAUCUUCUUCUUCUACCACCAAAUCAACAAAAAAUCAUUCAACAAAAAAUCGUCUCGGCCUCUCAAAAUCGUCGUCUCCUCCACAGAUUCGUCUUCUCCUCCACAAAAAUGUCGCCUCCUCAAAAACCCUAUUCCUACUCCAGAAAAUCGGCGGAGAAGGGGAACCAAAACCUACUUUACCACCAAAUCAACAAAAACCCUUCUCCAAAUCAACAAAAACCCUUCUCCAAAUCAAAGCGUCUCCACCUCAAAACCGUUGUCUCCUCCACAAAAUCGUUGUCUCCACCAGAAAAUCGAAUCCUCCACGAUUUUGGAAGACGGUGAACCAAAAGCCUACUUCAACAAUGGUGGACACUCGAGCAUCUGGAUCUGCUAGUCAUGACGGAAAAAUGUAUCAGAGAACGAACGUGAAGAAGAAGAUUUUGCGGAUCCCUAAAGCACCGAAAUAGGACGUUCUUUUGUAAGUAUUUAACAAUGAUUGGUUGUCACAAUCAAUGCAAAUCAGUGAUCAACGCACCUAUUCAGAGGUUGAAAAUGAGUUGGACAACGACAGACAAUGUUGAUGACAACAGGGUUUAUUUGCUUAGACACCUUGAAGUCUACAUGGGUGAAAGAGAGGGUCAAUGACUUUUGAAUGCUUUCCUCUUGUUUUUUGUAGACGAUAGCCCAUGCGAUGAAUAUUACUCGAUACAUUGGGUCACAAUAAAUCAAUAUUUGAGUUAUAGAA